rnacentral:rRNA from 1 species
CUGGCGGCAGCUUACACAUGCAGUCGAGCGGAACGAUACCAGCUUGCUGGUAGGCGUCGAGCGGCGGACGGGUGAGUAAUACUUAGGAAUCUACCUAGUAGUGGGGGAUAGCUCGGGGAAACUCGAAUUAAUACCGCAUACGACCUACGGGAGAAAGGGGGCAGUUUACUGCUCUCGCUAUUAGAUGAGCCUAAGUCGGAUUAGCUAGAUGGUGGGGUAAAGGCCUACCAUGGCGACGAUCUGUAGCUGGUCUGAGAGGAUGAUCAGCCACACCGGGACUGAGACACGGCCCGGACUCCUACGGGAGGCAGCAGUGGGGAAUAUUGGACAAUGGGGGAAACCCUGAUCCAGCCAUGCCGCGUGUGUGAAGAAGGCCUUUUGGUUGUAAAGCACUUUAAGCAGUGAAGAAGACUCCUCGGUUAAUACCCGUGGACGAUGACAUUAGCUGCAGAAUAAGCACCGGCUAACUCUGUGCCAGCAGCCGCGGUAAUACUGAGGGUGCAAGCGUUAAUCGGAAUUACUGGGCGUAAAGCGAGCGUAGGUGGCUUGAUAAGUCAGAUGUGAAAUCCCCGGGCUUAACCUGGGAACUGCAUCUGAAACUGUUAGGCUAGAGUAGGUGAGAGGAAGGUAGAAUUCCAGGUGUAGCGGUGAAAUGCGUAGAGAUCUGGAGGAAUACCGAUGGCGAAGGCAGCCUUCUGGCAUCAUACUGACACUGAGGCUCGAAAGCGUGGGUAGCAAACAGGAUUAGAUACCCUGUUAGUCCACGCCGUAAACGAUGUCUACUAGUCGUUGGGUCCCUUGAGGACUUAGUGACGCAGCUAACGCAAUAAGUAGACCGCCUGGGGAGUACGGCCGCAAGGUUAAAACUCAAUGAAUUUGACGGGGGCCCGCACAAGCGGUGGACCAUGUGGUUUAUUUCGAUGCACGCAAGACCCUUACCUGGUCUUGACAUAUCUAGAAUCUGCAGAGAUGCGGGAGUGCCUUCGGGAAUCAGAAUCCAGGUCCGCCAUGGCGUUGUUCAGUUGGUUUCUUGAGAUGUUGGGUUAAUUCCCCCAACGAGCCCAACCCUGUCCUUUAGUUCCCACCGGGUUAACCCGGAAAUUUUAAGGAUACUCCCAGUGCCAAAUGGGAGGAAGGGGGGGCGGAGGUAGAUUCUUCAUGGCCCUUAGGCCCAGGCUUCCCCACGUCCUCCAAUGGUAGGUCCAGAGGCCACCUCCACACGGAUGGGAUCCGAUUUUCAAAAACCCAAUGUUAUUCCGGAUUGGAUUUGCAAAUUGGAUUCCAAAAUUAGGAAUCGCU